rnacentral:tRNA from 1 species
GAGGGUACAGUUCAGUGGUAGAGCGUGUGCUUAGCAUGCAUGAGGUCCUGGGUUCAAUCCCUAGCACCUCCA